GUAGCAUUCCUGUCCCCGUGAGCGGCUGGGAAAGAACCAGGGAGUUCUUCACACAGAGCCUCAGUGUGUCGGGUCAGGGCCGGACCUGCCGGCCGCUCGUGGUCGCCUGUGCUGAGCUCCAGCAGCGCACGCAGAUGUGGGUCCUUCCUGGCGCCAGUGCCUCAGCUAAGCUGUCCCAACUCCUAGCGGGGGUUUUGGUCAGGAUUCUACCCGGGACAAUCUGUACUCCUCAAGGAAGAAAGAAAUCAUUGGUCUCUGAAGAAGCGAAAAGGAAACAGGAACAUGUAUGAAUGGAGUGUGUGGCUGUUUGCUUUUGUGUAUCACAACCCUGACUGCAAAUAGCACGAGGAUAUACAGCCCUGAGCCAGCAAACACUGCACCUUGGCUCUCACACCCAAACGCAGGAGCUCCAGCAGGUGGCUUAUAGGAGUGACGUGUUCUGACAGAGGCCGUUUCUAUAUGAACUGGUCUUGAAGGACAACAGGCAGGCUGACUAGAUGAGAGUCGGCACUGUUAUUCACAACUCGGAAAGAACAUGGAAACCUCUCCUGCCACUACCACGGUGCAUCCCCAUCUUCGUUAGGGUCUACUCUUCUGAUUUUUUGUCUCCACUUCCUUAGUAAUACCAGAAAAUGCAAACAUCCAGUGAGAAGAAAUUUGCACGCAGUGACAGAUCGCAGGCGUCUAGCCCCGAGCGGAGGGGCUGGCUGCGAUCCAUCAUCGUGACACUGUGCGUUAGCGAGCGAUCGCGGCUGCUCCUCGCAGGCAGGCCGACGCAGCACCUGAGCGAAGCGGCGGGAGGGAGCGCUCCAGGAGCCGUUCCUCAGCCAGAGGGGGACGGGGCCCCGCCGCACGCGUCCUCCAUCAGCCAGAGAACCGCGGAUUCCUCCCCCAGCGCCCUCAGACUUCUUCUACAUUGUAUUUUUUCUUUUACAACAAAUAUCCAAAGUUCAUAUAUUCUUGCUGCUUGGGAGCUAUAUGGAGACUCUUAAAUCAGGAAAAUCUAAGUUAGCGGCUGUUUUCACCCAGAUCGCUGAAUCCUCUUUGGAAGGUAAAUCAGAGACAGGGAACACGUUUAAUUUUGAUUUGGCUGGCUACGAAACCAAACAGAAUUUCAUUUCUUUUUGGUGAGUAUGAUGCAGUAGAGUUUUAUAAAGGGCAGGCUUAUCACUAAAUCAAAUUUAGAGACAGUCCAGGCAAAAACAUGGAUGGUCAUGUAACCCAUUUUACUUUCAGAGAAAGCGAAACUAUUGCAAAGCUUAUUAUUUAAGAGAAAGUGAAAAGAUUUAAAAAUUAAGCCAUAUAUAAAAGUAUCAUUUAAAGAGUUGAAAAGCAUGCAUAUUUACAUGACAAAAUUAAAGCUGAUGGCUAAAAUUAGAAAAAAGUAGAUGCCUCAGAGUUAUGAGAGAGUGGAAAGCACUGAAAAUAAGAUAUUUAGCUGACACCAGGGGUAUCCUAUUAAUUCAGACCCUGGCUAUGUAAUUUCAUGGGUCUCUAAUAUUCAAUAUCCUAUCCUAGGUUCAGUCACCCAGGUCUUUAGCUUAAGCUGUUGGAUGAUCCUUGAACUGUUAUGUAUUUGUGACCAGAAAAGACAGCUUCAAAUUUGA